rnacentral:rRNA from 1 species
AGUCUAGAUGUUUUUCAUAACAACUAAACGGCGAACGGCUCAUUAAAACAGUUAUAAUUUACUUGAUCGUAUUGUAAAGAAGAAUAACUACGGAAAAUCUGUUGCUAAACUUGUAAUAGGGUGUGACCCGAGAGGGUACUCAGCCAUUGGUUCAAUAUUAAUGGGGGGUUUCAUCGGAAUUAAUCAUAUAAUAACUUGAGUGUUAACGUAUAGAAUAAUGAGGUGGACACAUCCUGGAUUUGUUAUUAAUAGACUAUGUGGUUCCCUGGUUUGACAUAGCUAAACGAUGGAAUUUGUAACAAUGAUGUGACGCAUGCCUUUUUACCCCGGUGAAAAGAGAGUACGUGACUCAAUCAAGUUUCUGACCUAUCAGCUUUUGAUGUUAGGGUAUUGGCCUAACAUGGCGGUGACGGGUAACGGGGAAUUAGAGUUCGAUUCCGGAGAGGGAGCCUGAGAAACGGCUACCACAUCUAAGGAAGGCAGCAGGCGCGUAAAUUACCCAAUUCUAAAGAAGAGAGGUAGUGACAAGAAAUAAUGAAAUAAAGCCAUUUUUGGUUUUGUUAUUAGAAUGAUAGGAAUUUAAAUACUUCCUAAAAUUCAAUUGGAGGGCAAGUCUGGUGCCAGCAGCCGCGGUAAUUCCAGCUCCAAUAGCGUAUAUUAAAAUUGUUGCAGUUAAAACGCUCGUAGUUGAAUUUCAAAGAAUAUAGGUUGUUGAAAAGAUUUUAUAACCUAUACAGGUUUUUCGUUGAGACCUUGUGUCAUAUACGAUAACCAAAGUAAGGUUUUGAAUUACUUUUCUUCAAUAAAAUUUAUUCUUUUUUAAAAUCUUGCGUUGUUUCGACAAUUCGAGAUUUUGUUACUUUGAGUAAAUUAGAGUGUUCAAAGCAAACAUUUAAAGCAUUAUAUAUGUGUUUGAAUACUAUAGCAUGGAAUAACAUUAUUGAAUAUGUCAAAUUUCUUCAAUUUUUUCUAUUUUGGCUUAGUUACGAUUAAAAGGAGUAGUUUGGGGGCAUUUGUAUUCAGAUGUCAGAGGUGAAAUUCUUAGAUUUUCUGGAGACAAACAACUGCGAAAGCAUUUGCCUAAAAUACUUCCAUUAAUCAAGAACGAAAGUUAAGGGAGUGAAGACGAUCAGAUACCGUCGUAAUCUUAACCAUAAACCAUGCCGACUAGGUUUUGGAUGAAAGAUCUUAAAUUUAGAUAUAUGGGUUUAUCUCCUUCGGGAUUAAACUACUAUCUAAAAGUUGCUUCGUUCAGUACCUUAUGAGAAAUCAAAGUUUUUGGGUUCUGGGGCGAGUAUUCGCGCAAGCGAGAAAGUUAAAAGAAUUGACGGAAGGGCACCACCAGGCGUGGAGCUUGCGGCUUAAUUUGACUCAACACGGGAAAACUCACUAGUUUAAGACAAGAGUAGGAUUGACAGAUUAAUAGCUCUUUCUUGAUUUCUUGGAUGGUGAUGCAUGGCCGUUUUUAGUUCGUGAAUAUGAUUUGUCUGGUUAAUUCCGAUAACGAACGAGAUCUUAACCUGCUAAUUAGCGGUAAAUACACUGUAUUCGUGAGCAGGAUAGAAAUAUUGUUUUAGUUCGCUGUUUACUACUUAGGUAUGUGAGCUUGAACUAAACGAUUUUUUAUUUGGUUCAUGAAUGUAUUUAUUAUAUUAUAAUGCUUCUUAGAGGAACGAUGUGUGUUUAACACAAG